GUCCACGCCCUAAACGAUGGCAACUGGGUGUUGGGGGAGCGAUUCCUCAGUACCGUAGCUAACGCGUGAAGUUGCCCGCCUGGGGAGUACGGCCGCAAGGUUAAAACUCAAAGGAAUUGACGGGGACCCGCACAAGCGGUGGAUGAUGUGGAUUAAUUCGAUGCAACGCGAACAACCUUACCUACCCUUGACAUGUCCGGAACCCUGCUGAGAGGUGGGGGUGCCCGAAAGGGAAUCGGAACACAGGUGCUGCAUGGCUGUCGU
rnacentral:rRNA from 1 species